AUGCAUCACAAUAGACCUUCAAACAAACUUGAAACCUCAAUAGACCAAAGAGAUAACAAUUUUUUACAGUUUUUCAUCUUAAGGAAAUGACAAAUGUUUCUCAAGUCCAGACAACACAGAAGGAGUAACCAUACAAAUUUUAUAUGAAUGUACUCGGUCCUUAAAUUCAAAUGGUGACUAAAACCCAACAAAUAGGUGCAGAACAGGCUACAUACCUUUGAAUGUAACGAUUUAUUGCAGUUCAAGCUUGAAUCUCCUUAGACAUCAUUUGAGAAGCAAAUUUCUGAACCUUCCGGAUGAUAUUUUCUCUUCAUAGAUGGGAUGAUUAAGCAUCAGCAAGUUAUUGUCAUUGACAACGGCUCUCACUAAUAACUCUUUUGCUUCCUCAUGCCUUUUUUUCAGCAUGUUAC
rnacentral:lncRNA from 1 species